AGAGGAACAGCUCAAAGUGGUAGAGUGCAUGGUUAGCAUGCAUGAGGUUCUGGGUUCAAUCCCCAGUACCUCCU
rnacentral:tRNA from 1 species